AGAGUUUGAUCCUGGCUCAGGAUGAACGCUAGCGGGAGGCUUAACACAUGCAAGUCGAGGGGCAGCACGAGGUAGCAAUACUUUGGUGGCGACCGGCGCACGGGUGAGUAACGCGUAUGCAACCUACCCUGUACAGGGGGAUAGCCCGGAGAAAUUCGGAUUAAUACCCCAUAAAGAUAUUUAGAGGCAUCUUUAGAUAUUUAAAGUUUCGGCGGUACGGGAUGGGCAUGCGUAACAUUAGCUAGUUGGUAAGGUAACGGCUUACCAAGGCCACGAUGUUUAGGGGUCCUGAGAGGGUGAUCCCCCACACUGGUACUGAGACACGGACCAGACUCCUACGGGAGGCAGCAGUGAGGAAUAUUGGUCAAUGGGCGCAAGCCUGAACCAGCCAUCCCGCGUGCAGGAAGACGGCGCUAUGCGUUGUAAACUGCUUUUCCAGGGAAAGAAAACCCCCGACGUGUCGGGGUUUGCCGGUACCCUGGGAAUAAGCAUCGGCUAACUCCGUGCCAGCAGCCGCGGUAAUACGGAGGAUGCGAGCGUUAUCCGGAUUUAUUGGGUUUAAAGGGUGCGUAGGCGGAUUAAUAAGUCAGUGGUGAAAACCUGCAGCUUAACUGUAGACUUGCCAUUGAUACUGUUAGUCUUGAGUACGGUCAAGGUAGGCGGAAUGUGUAAUGUAGCGGUGAAAUGCUUAGAUAUUACACAGAACACCGAUGCGAAGGCAGCUUACUGGGCCAUUACUGACGCUGAGGCACGAAAGCGUGGGGAGCGAACAGGAUUAGAUACCCUGGUAGUCCACGCCGUAAACGAUGAUCACUCGCUGUUGGCGAUACACAGUCAGCGGCUAGGCAAAAGCAUUAAGUGAUCCACCUGGGGAGUACGGCCGCAAGGCUGAGACUCAAAGGAAUUGACGGGGGCCCGCACAAGCGGAGGAACAUGUGGUUUAAUUCGAUGAUACGCGAGGAACCUUACCUGGGCUUAAAUGUAGAGUGCAUGAAGUGGAAACAUUUCUUUCCUUCGGGACUCUUUGCAAGGUGCUGCAUGGUUGUCGUCAGCUCGUGCCGUGAGGUGUCGGGUUAAGUCCCAUAACGAGCGCAACCCUUAUCGUUAGUUGCCAGCGGGUCAUGCCGGGAACUCUAACGAAACUGCCGGUGUAAACCGUGAGGAAGGUGGGGAUGACGUCAAAUCAGCACGGCCCUUAUGUCCAGGGCUACACAC
rnacentral:rRNA from 1 species